rnacentral:rRNA from 1 species
CAAUAGCGUAUAUUAAAGUUGUUGCGGUAAAAAAGCUCGUAGUUGGAUUUCUGUCGAACUGAUCGGGUCGCCUUUAUGAGGUUGUAUCUCGCUUCGGUUUGGCAUCCUCGUAGGGAACGUUGCUGCGCUUCACUGCGUGGUGCGGUAUCUACGACUUUUACUUUGAGGAAAUUAGAGUGUUCAAAGCAGGCAUCGCCGUUGAAUACAUUAGCAUGGAAUAAUAAGAUAAGACUUUGGUGGUCUAUUUUGUUGGUUUGCACGCCAAAGUAAUGAUUAAUAGGGAUAGUUGGGGGUAUUCGUAUUCUAUUGCUAGAGGUGAAAUUCUUAAAUUUAUGGAAGACGAACUACUGCGAAAGCAUUUACCAAGGAUGUUUUCAUUAA